rnacentral:rRNA from 1 species
UUUGUAGGUGGCUUGCUAAGUCAGACGUGAAAUCCCUCAGCUUAACUGGGGAACUGCGUCUGAUACUGGUGAGCUUGAGUGCAGGAGAGGAACGCGGAAUUCCAGGUGUAGCGGUGAAAUGCGUAGAUAUCUGGAGGAACACCGGUGGCGAAGGCGGCGUUCUGGACUGCAACUGACACUGAGAAACGAAAGCCAGGGGAGCAAACG